rnacentral:rRNA from 1 species
AGUGUAGGCGGCUUCGUAAGUCGGAUGUGAAAGCCCCGGGCUUAACCUGGGAAUUGCAUUCGAUACUGCGCGGCUAGAGUUUGAUAGAGGAAAGUGGAAUUCCAGGUGUAGCGGUGAAAUGCGUAGAUAUCUGGAGGAACAUCAGUGGCGAAGGCGGCUUUCUGGAUCAAAACUGACGCUGAGGCUCGAAAGCGGUGGGGAGGCAAACA